rnacentral:lncRNA from 1 species
CUAAGCUACCUCUUUGCACCUGGGAACUCUGUGCCUUUUGAGAGUUGAAGGCUUAAAACAACAACAACCACCACAACAAAACUAUUCACCUUUUUAUCCAAUAGAAACUAAGCACUUUUUAACCACUGGAAAGAAAAGAGGGAAGGUUCUGAUUUCAUGCUCACUGGGACACUUCCUGGACACAUUCAGCUUCUUGCCCAUUAUUCAGAAGGAGAGGUAGAAACCUGUAGAAGUAGCCCUGGGGAGUGUAGUUUCUGAUAAAGGAUGUCUCCAUUUGGAAAUUAAGGGCUGUACCAGCAAUUGACUCCUGACAUCUGUUCUGACUGGUCAGAGUCUGUUCUGAUAGGUUGGUGCCUCUACUGAUUAUUAAAUAUUUUAUGCUAUGCCAAUUACUAAAUAUUUUGAAAACCACCUACUGUUACAUGGGCUAUCAUAUUGCCUAGAAUAUUUGGUGAUGGUUUCAUAAAUGGAAAGCAAUUGAU